rnacentral:rRNA from 1 species
GAUGAACGCUGGCGGCGUGCCUAACACAUGCAAGUCGAACGGAGUUAUUAUUAUGAAGUUUUCGGAUGGAUUAAUAAUAACUUAGUGGCGGACGGGUGAGUAACGCGUGGGUAACCUGCCUCAUACAGGGGGAUAACAGUUGGAAACGGCUGCUAAAACCGCAUAACAUUGCGAUGUCGCAUGACAAUGCAAUUAAAUAUUUAUAGGUAUGAGAUGGGCCCGCGUCUGAUUAGCUAGUUGGUGGGGUAAUGGCCUACCAAGGCGACGAUCAGUAGCGGGCUUGAGACAGUGACCGGCCACAUUGGGAGUGAGACACGGCCCAAACUCCUACGGGAGGCAGCAGUGGGGAAUAUCGCACAAUGGGGGAAACCCUGAUGCAGCGACGCCGCGUGAGUGAAGAAGUAUUUCGGUAUGUAAAGCUCUAUCAGCAGGGAAGAAAAUGACGGUACCUGACUAAGAAGCCCCGGCUAACUACGUGCCAGCAGCCGCCGUAA